AGAGUGGGGAAUAACCAGCCGAAAGGUUGGCUAAUACCGCGUACGCUUCUUGGACUUCGGUUCAGGGAGGAAAGCGCUACCGAGGGUAGCGCGCUCUUGGAUGGGCUCAUGUCCUAUCAGCUUGUUGGUGAGGUAAUGGCUCACCAAGGCUUCGACGGGUAGCUGGUCUGAGAGGACGAUCAGCCACACUGGCACUGCGACACGGGCCAGACUCCUACGGGAGGCAGCAGUAAGGAAUAUUGCGCAAUGGGCGAAAGCCUGACGCAGCGACGCCGCGUGGGGGAUGAAGGUCUUCGGAUUGUAAACCCCUUUCGGGAGGGAAGAUGGAAUGGGGUAACUCAUUCGGACGGUACCUCCAGAAGCAGCCACGGCUAACUUCGUGCCAGCAGCCGCGGUAAUACGAAGGUGGCAAGCGUUAUUCGGAUUUACUGGGCGUACAGGGAGCGUAGGCGGUUUGGUAAGCCCUCUGUGAAAUCUCCAGGCUUAACCUGGAAAAGUCGGAGGGGACUGCUGGGCUAGAGGACGGGAGAGGAGCGCGGAAUUCCCGGUGUAGCGGUGAAAUGCGUAGAGAUCGGGAGGAAAGGCGGUGGCGAAGGCGGCGCUCUGGAACGUCUCUGACG
rnacentral:rRNA from 1 species